AAAGGUAACUUUGAAUGCUGAGUCUCCUGGUGUUAAGGGAGCAAUUGUAGUAAUCCAGUCUUCCAAAUAUGCAGGCUCUCCUACUUUCCCCUGCAGACCAUUCUCUGCAGUCUCACUGCAGUUAACAGCACUAAUGAGUUGCAGAGAGACUCCUUGGCCAAGCAACUCAUGAACACGAUCAAGAACAGAAGCAUGGAAGUCAUUGAAGUCCAAAACAUUCUUU
rnacentral:misc_RNA from 1 species